rnacentral:rRNA from 1 species
UACGGAGGGAGCUAGCGUUGUUCGGAAUUACUGGGCGUAAAGGGCGCGUAGGCGGUCUUGCAAGUCCUGUGUGAAAUCCCUCGGCUCAACUGAGGAACUGCACAGGAAACUGCUUGGCUUGAGUUCGGGAGAGGGAUGUGGAAUUCCAGGUGUAGCGGUGAAAUGCGUAGAUAUCUGGAGGAACACCGGUGGCGAAGGCGGCAUCCUGGACCGGUAUUGACGCUGAGGCGCGAAAGCGUGGGGAGCAAACAGG